AUUGAACGCUGGCGGCAGGCCUAACACAUGCAAGUCGAGCGAGCGGCGGACGGGUGAGUAAUGUCUGGGAAACUGCCUGAUGGGGGGGGAUAACUACUGGAAACGGUAGCGAUUACCCCCUAUCCUCAGAUGUGCCCCGAUGGGAUUUGCUAGUGGGUGGGGUAACGGCUCACCUAGGCGACGAUCCCUAGCUGGUCUGAGAGGAUGACCAGCCACACUGGAACUGAGACACGGUCCAGACGCCUACGGGAGGCAGCAGUGGGGAAUAUUGCACAAUGGGCGCAAGCCUGAUGCAGCCAUGCCGCGUGUGUGAAGAAGGCCUUCGGGUUGUAAAGCACUUUCAGCGGGGAGGCGUUACCCGCAGAAGAAGCACCGGUUAACUCCGUGCCAGCAGCCGCGGUAAUAC
rnacentral:rRNA from 1 species